rnacentral:rRNA from 1 species
CCUACGGGAGGCAGCAGUGGGGGAUAUUGCACAAUGGGGGGAACCCUGAUGCAGCGACGCCGCGUGGGUGAAGGAGUGCUUCGGCAUGUAAAGCCCUAUCGGCAGGGAAGAAGCAAGACGGUACCUGACUAAGAAGCCCCGGCUAACUACGUGCCAGCAGCCGCGGUAAUACGUAGGGGGCGAGCGUUAUCCGGAUUCACUGGGUGUAAAGGGAGCGUAGACGGCCAUGCAAGCCAGGGGUGAAAGCCCGGGGCCCAACCCCGGGACUGCCCUUGGAACUGCAUGGCUGGAGUGCGGGAGGGGCAGGCGGAAUUCCUGGUGUAGCGGUGAAAUGCGUAGAUAUCAGGAGGAACACCGGCGGCGAAGGCGGCCUGCUGGACUGCGACUGACGUUGAGGCUCGAAAGCGUGGGGAGUGAACAGGAUUAGAUACCCUUGUAGUC